rnacentral:lncRNA from 1 species
GUAUCGACUGGACUUAUGAUAAAUUAUGAGAAUGAAAUACAAUUGAAUUACUAAAAUUUUAAAUUUAUGUUGAGAUUUAGCUAAUCCUAAAAUAGAGCAAAACAAAAUUAACAAAAGCAAGAGUUGGAAGGGCUAAAGAAUAGGCAUAACAAGCCAAGCAUGCAUUCUCAUAUUUAUGUAUCAUGUAAGUAUAGCAUUAAUUAGUGUGUACCCAAUUUUAUAGGAGGGGAAG